rnacentral:lncRNA from 1 species
UUAGAAAUGUCCCCUUUCCUACCCACACUUUUUAAAGACACAAUUGCAUUAGUGACUGCCUUUGGGAAUUUUAAAAUCCAUUCUGUGAACAAGGAGAAAUGCAGACAUGUUGGCAACACUGAUCAUUUUUGUUGUGGAUCUCAUGCUUGCUUCGGUUGUUGUGAUUAUUCUAUAUGCUGUUUGCUUAAUAGUAGCCACAGGUAUUUUUAUCUCAGUCAUUUUCUAUAUUUACACCGGAGAGAUGGAAAAACAUUGUGACUUCAACAAGGUUAGAAUUCUAGCAAUGCCGGACUCUAGCAGUGCUCCUGGGAAGAUGCUUGCUGGUCGCAUGGAGAAUGUCAGCUACGGGAUGUUUCCGGUCCAUUUUCCAGCUGUGCAAGAAGGGACCUUUCUGUCUAAGGAGAGUGAUGCUGGCUUCUACAGCACAAGGAACUCAGUACAGUGGAAGAGCCAGAGGAAGGCUUGGCAGAUCCCACCCACAACCAACCAACCAUUCUUUUUUCAGGUAGCUGGGAAAAGACACUCACUAAAAAGAACUACCAGAACUACUUCAGAAAGUGUCCAGAACAAUGGGGUAAGUGUGCUCAAGGUGAGAAGUGUUUUUUUUGUUUUUUUUUUUUGUUUGUUUGUUUGUUUUUGGUUUUUGGUUUUUCUCCGGUAUCGGGAACCGAACUCACGACCUUGCGCUUGCCAGGCAGGCGCUUUUGCCACUGAGCUAAAUCCCCAGCCCCGAGAAGUGUUUUGAAGGUGAUUAAUGGCAGUGUAUCUUUUACUAUAAUAAAUGUUAAAAUUCUUAUUUAAGCAUUUACUGUACUUUGUGAUCAUACCUCAUAAAAUACUGUAAUGCAGCUACUAUGGAAAGCAA